AGCUAGAGACGGAAUUCAACAGCAUCAACACAACUUCCCAGAAAAUAAGAUGUGGAGCAGAACUAUUGGUUGUUAACUACAAUCUAUAGUGAAAGAAUUGUGUUUGAUAAAUACCAGAAUGACACAUGAGUUCCAAAUUAAUGUCACGUCGGGUGAUCUCGUAAGACAUGGCCCCUGCAAUUUUCUAUGGGUUAUCUAGAGUUAUAAUAAAAGCACCAUCAGAGCACAAGUCUGAAGACAGGAUCGUGCAAAUCGGAGGGCUAAAAUCUCGAUAAAAGUAUAUCAGGCGACAAAGUCAUCAAAAACAACAAUGUCAUGAAAGUCACAAGGUAACAAAGUCAAAAAGUCACACAAGUCAUAAGGCAAAAAAAAAGCGAACUACAUCCCUGAUAACAAAGUAUACACAUGACGAACUACACCCGUUCCUAUCAAAUACCAUGGGACUUCAACGCCCAUACACAAACACAACACAUGACGGACUACACCCCGUUGCUAUCAAAUACCAUGGGACUUCAACGCCCAUACACAAACACAACACAUGACGGACUACACCCCGUUGCUAUCACAUACCAUGGGACUUCAACGCCCAUACACAAACACAACACAUGACGGACUACACCCCGUUGCUAUCACAUAACAUGGGACUUCAACGCCCAUACACAAACACAACACAUGACGGACUACACCCCGUUGCUAUCACAUAACAUGGGACUUCAACGCCCAUACACAAACACAACACAUGACGGACUACACCCCGUUGUUAUCACAUAACAUGGGACUUCAACGCCCAUACACAAACACAACACAUGACGGACUACACCCCGUUGCUAUCACAUAACAUGGGACUUCAACGCCCAUUCACAAACACAACACAUGACGGACUACACCCCGUUGCUAUCAAAUACCAUGGGACUUCAACGCCCAUACACAAACACAACACAUGAUGGACUACAUGUUAGGGAUAAAAUACGAGAUUCAAUCUUCUAAUACAAAGCAGACACACAACAAUAUAUUUGACGUGGAAACCCCACGUCCCAACAUGUAUUAUUAAUCAAAACAAUUAUCAAUAAUACAAUCAACCAAACUUGGAUACUCAAGCCUACUACCCAAGCAUCCGCCCGCAAGCGAUACCUAAGUCGACAUCUUGAGCACACCUAUCAAACACAAUAUGACUAUGUAUAUAUAGCCAUCUCAAACCUAGACAAAUCAGAAUCUAACUCUAACUCUGAAAUUCCUAACUGCAAUUAGAAUCCAAUUCUGAAAUCUUCAACUCAAAUCAGAAUCCAAUUCCAACUGGGUUAAUACCCAUCAAUCCUCUUCUAACUUUGUGACCAAAACAUACCUUUUAUAAUAAUUGUCCAAACAUACAAUUAUUAUCCUUAUAUAUUUUAGAUCACCAAAGUCCAUGUUACCUUGUAAUGGGCUGAUACCUAACACUACACCCCGUUGCUAUCAAACAACAUGGGGCAAAAAUAGUGUCCUCCUCCUGAACAUUAUCAUAUUCACCCGCCUUCUCCACAUCAUAAUAUAUUCUCUAUAACACAUGACAUAUCAUUUACUUUUACAUUAUGCAAAAUUUAUCACAUUAUGUACUAUACAGGAAAUGAGACAGGUGAAAGAACG
rnacentral:lncRNA from 1 species